rnacentral:rRNA from 1 species
AACGAACGCUGGCGGCGUGCUUAACACAUGCAAGUCGAACGCGAAAGGGGCUUCGGUCCUGAGUAGAGUGGCGCACGGGUGAGUAACGCGUAGAUAACCUGUCCUGGUGUCUGGAAUAACGUCUCGAAAGGGGCACUAAUACCGGAUAUUCUUGCUGUCUUCCAGGUAUGACAGGAAAGGUGGUGUCUGGAACAAGCUACUGCACGAGGAGGGGUCUGCGUACCAUUAGCUAGUAGGUGGGGUAAUGGCCUACCUAGGCGACGAUGGUUAGCGGGUCUGAGAGGAUGAUCCGCCACACUGGCACUGGAAUACGGGCCAGACUCCUACGGGAGGCAGCAGUGAGGAAUAUUGCGCAAUGGGGGCAACCCUGACGCAGCGACGCCGCGUGAGUGAGGAAGGCCUUCGGGUCGUAAAGCUCUGUCAAGAGGGAAGAAGUGCAUGGUGGUUAAUAUCUGUCAUGUUUGACGGUACCUCUAAAGGAAGCACCGGCUAACUCCGUGCCAGCCGCCGCAGUAA